GAUGAACGCUAGCGGCAGGCCUAACACAUGCAAGUCGAGGGAGAAGCCCUUUCGGGGGCAGACACCGGCGCACGGGUGCGUAACGCGUAUGCAACCUACCUUUCACAGGGGGAUAGCCCGAAGAAAUUUGGAUUAAUACCCCAUAAUAUUAUUGGAUGGCAUCAUUUGAUAAUUAAAACUGCGGUGGUGAAAGAUGGGCAUGCGUCCUAUUAGCUAGCUGGAGUGGUAACGGCACCCCAAGGCUACGAUAGGUAGGGGUCCUGGGAGGGAGAUCCCCCACCCUGGUGCUGGAACAGGCACCAGGCUCCUGCGGGAGGCAGCAGUGAGGAAUAUUGGGCAAUAGUCGGAAGACUGAACCAGCCAUGCCGCGUGCAGGAAGAAUGCCUUGUGGGUUGUAAACUGCUUUUAGAUUGGUAGAGCUAGGCGUACGUGUACGUUGAUGACGGUACCAUAUGAAUAAGCAUCGGCUAACUCCGUG
rnacentral:rRNA from 1 species